UUUUAAUAUUAAAAAUGAAAUAAAUUAAAUGAUAACUUAUAAACUAUAAUAACCUAUUGUUAUAUUUAAAAAAUAGAUUAUAUUUUAACCCCAGUUUAUGAGAAUAAAACAUUCUUGAAAACUUCUUGUAAAUGUGGUCCUCAUAACUCAAGAUUUGGCACUAUGCUUCAUCUACAAAUGCUCAUGCACAUUUGGAAUGUAUGAGCUUCAGUAUGUAUAUUUUGGCACAUGCUGUAAUUUACACAAAGUUUGUCUUUGAUAUAUUCUUCAUGUAUUGGGUCACAAUUCAAAAUGUAGUUCCUGCAGUGAAUUGCAAUCAACAAAGUUUAAAACAUGCUCGUUUACUAGAUCACUUUUUGAUAAAGUUUACCUUAACCUACAGGAUCCAGAUUCAAUUCCUUCCACACUUCGUAUUUUUUCAUUUUUUCUGAUGGAAUUCAGUUCUGUGAUCAUCC
rnacentral:lncRNA from 1 species